UAACGAAGGGUGCAAGGCGUUACUCGGAAUUACUGGGCGUAAAGCGUGCGUAGGUGGUGAGUUAAGUCUGAUGUGAAAUCCCCGGGCUCAACCUGGGAAUGGCAUUGGAUACUGGCUCGCUCGAGUGCGGUAGAGGGUGGUGGGAAUUCCCGGUGUAGCAGUGAAAUGCGUAGAGAUCGGGAGGAACAUCUGUGGCGAAGGCGGCCACCUGGACCAGCACUGACACUGAGGCACGAAAGCGUGGGGA
rnacentral:rRNA from 1 species